rfam:TNVERIFIED: Cronobacter phage S13, complete genome.
GGUGAGUUGUCCGAAUGGUAAGGAAGCGGAUUGCUAAUCCGUAGAUCGUCUCUGACGGUCUGAGAGUUCGAGUCUCUCACUCACCG